rnacentral:pre_miRNA from 1 species
AAUAGGAGAAUGACAAAUAGAUUUUUCUUCUUGAUCUUUAGCUUUUUCCUCCUAAAAAAAUUCAAAUCCAACUAAAAAUUAGGAGGAAAAAUCUAAUUUGUCAUUCUCCUAUU